GUACAGAAUACAUUAAGGCAUUAAAGAAAUACACAGAAAAAAAUGUGAAUUAGAGGCACACCCAGAACAUGCAUAUCCAAGCAGUAGUGCUGCCAUAAAGACCAAAACAGAUACAAAAUACAGUUAAAGGUACAGCGCACGCACAAACGAAAAUACUGUUUUACAUUUAACAAGGCUACUUAAAAUCACCUAUCUUAGCAAAAAAAUAUUGGGAUUCAGUUCCAUCAUAUUGUGUUAAGCCCACCACUGCGUCACCGUACCCAAAUAUUGGUGGAUCCUACACUAAUUUUAACAUGGGAGAUUAACAUGAUAAUAGCAUUAAAAUUAACGUGCGGCUCUUUCCGCGCAUGCGCAUUCGGCUCCACUGACGUCGGACAGGGGAGGUCACCAGCACCGAGGGAGCCCGGCGCAGAAUUAAGGUAAGUGGAUGAAGGGGUUUUAACCCCUUCAGCGCCACGAGAGGGGGACCCUGAGGGUGGGGGCACCCUCACGGCACUAUAGUGUCAGGAAAACCUCUUUGUUUUCCUGACACUAUAGUGAUCCUUUAACCUACCUAAUUCUUUAUCAUAGGACUACGAGUACAUACCUCCACGUUGUUCCUCAUUAGUAUUUUUUUCCCCAGUUUGUUGCUUUGUUUACCAGAGUGGAACAUUGCAUGACUAGGUAUUUAAGAUCAUAUUUUAAUAUAAAGAUAUUGCUAGACUGGAGUUUAAUCUUACUAUUGUCAGUGAUGAAUGGAGACACGGUGUAGGGUUACUGGCAGAGGGCUUCUUUAGUGGUUUAUUGGGUGAUAGAACUUGACAUAGGGUCACAGGGGAGUCUUUACAAUGAAUGUGGUCACUGGCCUGGGUUUAGCUUUACUAGCAUGGAGGUCCUGAUGGUGCAUGGUCACUACAGCUUAUUGGAAUGGUUAUGGUUUGACACAAACCAAGGAUCCCCCAAAGAUACAUCCUGGCAUCUUGCUAGGCAUAUUUUAAAGGCAGACUUUACAUUUGCAUAAAAAUGACGAUCUCAUUCAUUGGCUGUGCUCAUCAGCUGAAACUGCAGUAGGGUUCUGUUAUGCACAUAAUAAUAAUUGGAUACAAAAAUAUCUAAGCCCCCCGCAAUGACUAUUUAAAAGUGAAGUUGAUUUACCUUACAUCCCGCAGCCUGCUCUUCCCUGUGCUGAAACUCUAUGUCCAUGGCUGAGAUCAUCAGUCUGGAUGAUUUUAACCAAACAAAUGCUUUCCAUAGGAAAUCAUCGGCAGGGUAGUGUGCAUAUCUGGCAAAAUGCCUCACUGUGCCAUUCAAAUGGUCUCUAUUCAGUAGAUUUCAGCAGAAGCACCCAUAGUGGCUGUCUCCCUGACAUUCACUACGGGUGCUUCUGCUGAAAUCUACUGAAUAGAGACCAUUUGAAUGGCACAGUGCAGCAUUUUGCCACAAAUGCACAUGAGCCUUCCGAUGCUUUCCUAUGGAAAGCAUUUGUUUGGUUGCGACAGGUAGAGGCAUUUAAAAUCUAGAACACAAACCUUGCUCUUCCUGUAGAACAGCAGUGUUUUUAAUUACUGGGUUAAAACUUAAUUGAGAUGAUGUGGUUUGGAAGCCAAUAGUGUCCCUUUAAACACAGUUUGACUCUGCUUCUUAGGACAUUAUCAUAGUUUGUCUGAAUCCAAUCUUAUCUAUUCCAGAAUACAUCUUAUCACCAUCCUUUCAGUUAUUUUCGGUAAAUGUCAUUUUAUCACAUUUUUUGGGUGUUGUCUUCCAUCUCAAUAUCACGUGGUUAUGCCAACUUUCUACAAUUAAUUCACUGAGCAGAGGCAUAAUUUAAUCAGAUUUAUAUCCCAAGUUCUCACCAGAGUAGACUAAAAUCCAUAUUCCUGCACAAGGUCACCACUAUCCAGGCCAGCUUGCAAGUAUCAAAGGGGGUUAUACAGUCACAAAGACAAAACUUUCAAUGUUCAAAGGAAAGGGAUACUACAGUAAGAGGAACAGGGACAUUAUGCAUAGCAUUACCAAACUACGCAGGAAAAAACUUCAAUACUUGAGACAGGAUGCAAUCAAUCAGUUGAUAACUGCCUCUAGCCCCCACAGCACUCCUCCAAUGCAACUUUCACUAUAUUAUUAUACUAAUGGAGUAUUCCUCUGAAACCGACCUUGUUGUGAUGUAAAGUUAGCCUUCCCUGGAAUGCAUUGUUUACUAACAAUGUUGGCCUAUAAAACCGUGUUAUCCUGAUCUCUUAAAUAAAGGUUUUUUUUAAAAAAGUUAAAUGCAAUGGAACUAUAGAUAUCUCCGUUGAUGUCACAGACAAAGCAGGUAGGCGUAGAACUGCAGUUAUUUUUACCAAUCUCUCCAGUUAUAGGCAGCUAGUUGCAGAUCUAGAUUCUAUACAAUGGUGCUUUGUGUGUGUAAUUAUACACUGCUACACAUUCUGUAAAAACAAAGAAUGUCAUUGUUUUGAAGCAACAUUCUAGCCACCAUAACUACCUAUGUCCAUUGCAUAUGUCAUGGAGCACAGAUGUUCUUUGCCAUUGCUAGCCAUAAAACUGUCCACAUAGUGUAUGGCCUGAGUAAAAUGCUGCCUUCCUUUCAUCAGCUUGCCUGUUAAACAGCGUUACGAACUUUGUUGUGUAUGUAUCUUUUUUGUUUGCCAUAAUUUUAAUGCACUAUUUUUAUAAUAAAAUUUUAAAAAUAGUGCCACGCAUGGAGUGCUCCUUUAAGGGUUAAUUUAUUACUGGGAUGAGAAAAAUGGAACUGUUUAGACAAGAAAAUCCCAGAGGAUAUUGUAACAUUCACUACUAAAGCUGGAGGACUUCCUGUGGACAGGGUAAUGCAGGAUGAGAUACAUUGUGCUCUAUCAUAGACCCAUGCCUUAUCAGCCUAUGUCAGGACUUAUUGUUAUAUGAGGCUGAUGCUCUGAACAGGAUGUUAUUAACUGCGGCUAUAUUGCUACUGAUUCUAAAGGCAGCUGUCUUUUAAAUUGUACAUGUCUGUAUUGUAACAAGAUAUUUAAAGCAGACCUUUUGGCAUGUGGAUCUCACCUUCAUCUUCAAAUAAGCAUUUGUGUAAUGAUUAUGAUUGCCAAAUCUGACAAAAGCAUGGAUCAAAACUAUUCUGUCUAAAGUGCUACAAAUAUAUUUUUUAAUACAAGUGAAAACAGUCUCCUGGCUGCCUUUCAUUAUGCCUGAUGUAUAUUUUAUUUUUGCAUAAAUGCUUUAAAAAAU